GGAAGGGCCAUAGCUCAGUUGGUAAAGCAAAUGCUUUGCAUGCAGAAGGUCACAGGUUCAAUCCCUGGUGUCUCCU